rnacentral:lncRNA from 1 species
CUCGCGAUAAGCCGACUGUUGCCAAAGGGAGGAAAGCGGGCCGCCCGCCCGCCAUCAGUGUUUGGUCUAGACAAGACGGCUGCAGUACAGAAGCCACCCCUGGAUCUUCUGAAGAGAUCGAAUUUAGAUAAGGUUCGGGGCCUGCCAAAGCUCUGUGGUUCUGCUCGGGAGAUCUGGAAAAGUGGUUAAGGGCGACGUUUGACCUCGAUGCCGGGUAAUAGAGCUCCUCCGAUACACAGAUGGACGCGAGAGCUUCUGAGACCCGAAUUCAGCCCCCAAAGCCCAGCCCAACCCCCGACUCCUUUCUGAGCUUGUAUCAAAUCACCUUUUGAGCCCCUGACGUUUCUAACAGCCUGUCCAGGAAGGGAGACCUCCCUCGGCGACCAGAAUCAGGAGACCUUCCUCCUACCUGCUAUACAUGCAAAAAGAACAUUCAGGGAGCCUCCCAGAGCAAGGGAGAAUGACCGCAAUCAGUGGAGGGGAGCAACGCAUCCUGGGCCCCUUUGACCAAAAAACGUUUAAAGUGCUUCCUGACUCCGAGUUCUUUCUCUGGAUGUGGAGAACAUCUUUCUCAUAAGUCCCUCAGAAUUGCCCUGGAUCAUUGCAUUGCUGACGAGCCUCUUUCAACAUAGCUAGACUAGUUGUCUAUCAGCACAACGGGGCUGCUCCAUUUGAAAUCAAACAAUCACAAUGCUGAACAGUCAUAGGGAAGAAGUCGAGAAGAAGACAUAAAUGGCUGCAUGUAGAACACCCUGCAUCCAUUUGGUCAACAAUUUGGCCACGUGGUAUGAAAGUUUGCAGAGAACAGAGGUUGAAGUUGGACUUGGAGAACUUCAUGUCCGUGGUGUGACCGCACAUCAAGAGAAGAGACAAUUUAAUCUGCUAGUUGGUAAAAGGAGAGAAGAAAGGGAAGAAUUUGGAUGAGUUUUCCUGCUGGAAAGCUGUGUCCAAGGCCCGUUGCCAUUGCUGUAUUUUUGUUUAGAUCAGGGUUCUGGACCCCUCUGGCAAUCUGGUCAUGUUUAUGGACCAUUUCUUAGAGCAGUUUUUAAAAGCAUAAAAUAAAAUAUGUAACAUUACAAAAUAAUCCA